rnacentral:lncRNA from 1 species
UAAGAUACUGUUGAUCAAAAGGCUGUUGUCAGAACUUUCCUGGGUUAAGCUCCAUACAGUCACUGAACUUCUAGUUGGGUUUUUUCCUUGAAGAAAUAGAUUGCUUGAAAAGUCUGUUAUGAAGAAUUUAACCAUGAGGAUCAAGAUGUUUACAGAGCAUAAAGUCCCAGUGCCCUGUUCCACGGCUUAUCGUUUCCCAAGGUUCAAAGUAAGGCUGAGAAUUGAUCUUAGCAUUUCAGUGCACAAAGGAAUAAAAUACUCGGAUCUUUCCUUUCCUUGGCGUCGAUGUUUUCCGUCUUUUGUGCACCCCUGGUGCCUUAGCAGAUGGCAGCCUGCUUCCUUGACAGGAGUGCAUAUGCGUGUUUGAGCCACACUGAUUCUGCAUGAGCACAGAGUCCUUUUGGUACCCAAAUCUCUGGCGGGAGUUAUGCUCAUCUCAGUUUCGCUGGCAGUUCUUCAGUCUAACUUCCUGAAUGUUGUUGGAAUCUUUAUUUUCUGGUACAGAUUGAAGACAUACUAAAUACUUCAUGUGGUAUAAUAACACCGUGGCUUUUACUACUGGCCUGAAGGAGUUCCUGCAGUUUCCUUUCAAGAAAGAAAAGGAAUACAGAGAACUAGCCUCAGGACUUCACAUCAUUAUUGCUGGGUUUUAUUUUAGGGUUGUGAAAAAAGCAUUUGAAGGCAGGUUUAGGAAUGAAGGCAGGUUUAGGGAGACAUGAUUUUUAUCUAAAGCCAAAGCAGACAAAAGGAAAAGAAAUUAACAAGUGG